rnacentral:rRNA from 1 species
GGAUGCGAUCAUACCAGCACUAAUGCACCAGAUCCCAUUAGAACUCCAAAGUUAAGCAUGAUUGGGUGAGAGUAGUACUAAGAUGGGAUUGGGCGAGAGUAGUACUAAGAUGGGUGACUCCCUGGGAAGUCCUCGUGUUCAUGGG